AACGCACAUUGCGCCCGCUGGAACUCCGGCGGGCAUGCCUGUCCGAGCGUCAUUUCAACCCUCAGGCCCCCCUUCCGGGGGCGGGCCUGGUGUUGGGGACCGGCCGCCUCCUCUGGCGGCCGACCCCUAAAUUCAGUGGCGGCCGCGCCGCGAGCCCUUGCGUAGUAAACUAACCUCGCACCGGUGAGCGGAGCGGUCCACGCCGUGAAACCCCCAAAUUUCAAUGGUUGACCUCGGAUCAGGUAGGAAUACCCGCUGAACUUAA
rnacentral:misc_RNA from 1 species